rnacentral:rRNA from 1 species
UGGGGAAUAUUGCACAAUGGGCGCAAGCCUGAUGCAGCCAUGCCGCGUGUAUGAAGAAGGCCUUCGUGUUGUAAAGUACUUUCAGCGGGGAGGAAGGGAGUAAAGUUAAUACCUUUGCUCAUUGACGUUACCCGCAGAAGAAGCACCGGCUAACUCCGUGCCAGCAGCCGCGGUAAUACGGAGGGUGCAAGCGUUAAUCGGAAUUACUGGGCGUAAAGCGCACGCAGGCGGUUUGUUAAGUCAGAUGUGAAAUCCCCGGGCUCAACCUGGGAACUGCAUCUGAUACUGGCAAGCUUGAGUCUCGUAGAGGGGGGUAGAAUUCCAGGUGUAGCGGUGAAAUGCGUAGAGAUCUGGAGGAAUACCGGUGGCGAAGGCGGCCCCCUGGACGAAGACUGACGCUCAGGUGCGAAAGCGUGGGGAGCAAACA